rnacentral:rRNA from 1 species
UACCAGCACCCCGAGUGGUCGGGACGAUUAUUGGGCCUAAAGCAUCCGUAGCCGGUUCUACAAGUCUUCCGUUAAAUCCACCUGCUUAACAGAUGGGCUGCGGAGGAUACUAUGGAGCUAGGAGGCGGGAGAGGCAAGCGGUACUUAGUGGGUAGGGGUAAAAUCCGUUGAUCCAUUGAAGACCACCAGUGGCGAAGGCGGCUUGCCAGAACGCACUCGACGGUGAGGGAUGAAAGCUGGGGGAGCAAACAGG